GUCUACGGCCAUGCUACCCUGAACAAGUCCGAUCCCGUCUGAUCUCAGAAACUGAGCAGGGUCAGGCCUGGUUAGUACUUGGAUGGGAGACCACCUAGGAAGACCACGUGCUGUAGGCA
rnacentral:rRNA from 1 species